rnacentral:misc_RNA from 1 species
UCGUAUAACAGAGGUGUAAGGGCUGUCGCUGACCUUUAAAGGUUGUGCACGCCUAAGCCCUCUCACAAUCCAUCUCACCCCUUUUGUGCAUCACCGCGUGGGUCCUCCCUUUGCCGGGAGGGCCUGCGUUUUCACACAAAACUCGAUACAGUGUAGAAUGUUUACUUUUGCGGUCGCACGCAAUCAAUA